rnacentral:siRNA from 1 species
UAGCUUCGAUGUUGUUGUUGU